rnacentral:rRNA from 1 species
CCGAUUGAAUGGCUCGGGGAGCCUUUGGGACUGGCUUCAGGAGGGGUUGGCAACGACCCCCCCAGAGCCGGGAAAAUUGGGUCAAACCCGGUCAUUUAGAGGAAGUAAAAAGUCGUAACAAGGUUUCCGUAGGUGAACCGCGGAAGGGAUCAUUACCGAGUGCGGGUCCUUUGGGCCCAACCUCCCAUCCGUGUCUAUUGUACCCUGUUGCUUCGGCGGGCCCGCCGCUUGUCGGCCGCCGGGGGGGCGCCUCUGCCCCCCGGGCCCGUGCCCGCCGGAGACCCCAACACGAACACUGUCUGAAAGCGUGCAGUCUGAGUUGAUUGAAUGCAAUCAGUUAAAACUUUCAACAAUGGAUCUUUUGGUUCCGGCAUCGAUGAAGAACGCAGCGAAAUGCGAUAACUAAUGUGAAUUGCAGAAUUCAGUGAAUCAUCGAGUCUUUGAACGCACAUUGCGCCCCCUGGUAUUCCGGGGGGCAUGCCUGUCCGAGCGUCAUUGCUGCCCUCAAGCUCGGCUUGUGUGUUGGGUCGCCGUCCCCCUCUCCGGGGGGACGGGCCCGAAAGGCAGCGGCGGCACCGCGUCCGAUCCUCGAGCGUAUGGGGCUUUGUCACAUGCUCUGUAGGAUUGGCCGGCGCCUGCCGACGUUUUCCAACCAUUCUUUCCAGGUGACCUCGGAUUAGGUAGGGAUACCCCUGAACUUAAGCAUAUUCAUAAGCGGAUGAAAAGAAACCAACCGGG